UCUAACCACUGAGCUACAGGAGACUCUGUGGUGAGCAAGGGUCAAUUAGUGGGUAUUAGCUCUUGUUAAUGAUCAAUCGCUUUACGAACGCAUGUUUUUGCAUCAGUCAAGAAGAUUGUACAAGAUUUUCCCUCUAGGUCUUUAAUAUUUUGCAUGGCAUUUCCGAUGAAGUUAGAAACUCUUGUUCUUAUGUUUGCGCUUUGAUUGCUUCGAACAGUAAAAAAAGUUACCGAAACUUCCACCUUUUAUGAGUCAGGAAUAAACAAAAGUUUAAUAUUUUUUUAUCAUAAGGAUUUAAGGCUUCCAGAUGGAGAUGCUCAUGAUUGGGCUUGUUUCUUUCUGGUAUCGUGGUCCAGGGAAGCGGCAGAAGGCCCGGUAAAAAAGGAAAUACUAGUACUAGAAACUACCAGUACUACAGAGAGAGAGGACAAAAUAUGAACAAGGAAGUGACUGGAAACACUGACAGAGAUACAGCUGUUUAUCACGAGUUAAAGCCACCAAUCACAGCACGUUAUAUUCGUUUACAACCUGUGGCGUGGCAUCGCCAUAUAUCCAUGAGGAUAGAGAUUUCUGGGUGUGAAGAUGAUGUCAUUCACAUGUAAAUUAACCCUUUAAAACCGAACAACAAUAUGCAUAUUCUCCAAACUCUACUCUAGACAUUUCCUACGGCGCUAACAAAAAACUCGUUUAUCAUUUAAAAGUUAAUUAGUGAUCAUUUCCUUUUGUGACGUCAUGUUCAUAUUUGAUUCAAGGGAGAUUUAGUAAGAAGUUAGAUGUUAUUCAUUAUUAUUGGUUAGAAUGUUAACGAAAAAAUAGGUAAUAACCGCUCCAUUAGAAGUCCUUCACAGUUUUAAAGAUCCACACCGAAUUUCAAAAUACUGGACAACAGCCUCAUUUAGUUAAAAAGCAUACCUUUUUUGAAAAACGUGUGUGCUUGACGUGUCUGCUUCUAAGCAUGCAAAAAAGCUCUCGGAAUGCAAAACCGUGAAAUCCGUGACUGGCAGAUCACCUCUUCACCGUAGUGGGACGCAAAUCAUGCUGCCGCCCAGGGAAGACUCUUCUUCCAGGCAGCUGGUAACAAACAAAGAGAUUGGUCAGCAAGAACAAAUGCUAGCAACCAGUGGCUCUAAAUAAAUUUAGGAUUUAACGGCAACAUGGGGACUCGUGUUGCGACACAAGGAAGAAAAACGUACAGCCAGUGGGUUACAAAGUACAUGUGCAGUUCAGCGAUGACGGGUCACAUUUUCACUUUUACAAAGAACAAGGCCAGUUACAAAAUAAAGUAAACCUUGACCUUUUUUUUUUUUAUCAGAGUUGUAGACUCCAGAGGACCUCAUUAGUCCGCCUAUUCGACCGUAAGGAAGUUCCUCUCUGGGUAAGUCUCCUUGUAUCCUUGAGCAGAAGAACCAACGAAAAGGAAAAAUUGAGAUAAGCUGUUUGAUCAUACAAUAGCCCAACGCAUAAAAAAGAAAUUAGACUACUAUAAUUUCG